rnacentral:tRNA from 1 species
AGGAAUGUAGCUCAAUGGUACAGCACUUGCCUGGCAUAUGCAAGGCCCUGGGUUUGAUCUCCAGCCCAAUCCUA